CAAUAGCGUAUAUUAAAGUUGUUGCAGUUAAAAGCUCGUAGUUGGAUUUGUGGUGUGUCCAGUCGGCCUUUGCUCUUUGAGUGAUUGUGCUGUUACUGGUCUGCCAUGUUUGGGUGGAAUCUGUGUGGCAUUAAGUUGUCGUGCAGGGGAUGCCAUCGUUUACUGUGAAAAAUUAGAGUGUUCAAAGCAGGCUUAUGCCUCUGAAUAUAUUAGCAUGGAAUAAUGAUAUAGGACCUUGGUACUAUUUUGUUGGUUUGCGCACUGAGGUAAUGAUUAAGAGGGACAGUUGGGGUAUUUGUAUUCCAUUGUCAGAGGUGAAAUUCUCCGAUUUGUUAAAGACUAACUUAUGCGAAAGCAUUUGCCAAGGAUGUUUUCAUUAAUCAAGAACGAAAGUUAGGGGAUCAAAGACGAUCAGAUACC
rnacentral:rRNA from 1 species